UAGAUGACAAAUAUAGCGCCUCAUAUAAUAGCGGGAAUAAGGCCUGCAAGUUUCUACCCGAUCACCGUAAAUGAUUGGACUAUGGGGAAAGUAUUUCUUAUC
rfam:Bacillus badius strain MTCC 1458 Contig15, whole genome shotgun sequence.